AUUGAACGCUGGCGGCGUGCCUAACACAUGCAAGUCGAGCGGUAACAGGCGUAGCAAAACGUGCUGACGAGCGGCGAACGGGUGAGCAAUGCUUCGGAAUCUGCCCAAUGAUGGGGAAUAACCAGUCGAAAGAUUGGCUAAUACCGCAUAAGCCCUUCGGGGGAAAGCGGGGGUCGCAAGACCUCGCGUCGAUGGAUGAGCCGAAGUCGGAUUAGCUAGUUGGUAGGGUAACGGCCUAUCAAGGCGACGAUCCGUAGCUGGUCUGGGAGGACGACCAGCCACACUGGGACUGAGGCACGGCCCAGACUCCUACGGGAGGCAGCAGUGGGGAAUAUUGGACAAUGGGGGCAACCCUGAUCCAGCGACGCCGCGUGUGUGAAGAAGGCCUGCGGGUCGUAAAGCACUUUUAGUGGGGAUGAAAAGCACAUUGCUAAUACCAGUGUGUCUUGACCUAACCCAAAGAAAAAGCACCGGCUAACUCUGUGCCAGCCGCCGCCGUAAUAC
rnacentral:rRNA from 1 species